GUCAUCGCGAGGUGGGGUCGGAAGGAAGCCCGAGGCGAGACCUCUGCACCGGGACACGAAUCGCGUAGGAGGCGUGCUGGCUGGGGUGAGCCUGCAACGGAAGGUGAAGCCCGACAUCACCACGACGACAUCACGGCUUGCCGGGGCAUUUUUCGGUGCUCCGGCAAGCCGUUAACCGCGAUGCGGAGAGGGUUCAGUGC
rnacentral:ncRNA from 1 species